rnacentral:rRNA from 1 species
UACAGACGGUCCAAACGUUAUUCGGAAUCACUGGGCUUAAAGAGUUCGUAGGCGGUCAGGAAAGUGGGGUGUGAAAGCCCUCGGCUUAACCCGAGGAAUUGCGCUCCAAACUCCCUGACUUGAGGAGGCUAGAGGUAAGCGGAACUGAUGGUGGAGCGGUGAAAUGCGUUGAUAUCAUCAGGAACACGGAGGCGAAGGCGGCUUACUGGGGCCGUUUCUGACGCUGAGGAACGAAAGCUAGGGGAGCGAACGG